GAAUCUUCCACAAUGGACGAAAGUCUGAUGGAGCAACGCCGCGUGAGUGAAGAAGGGUUUCGGCUCGUAAAACUCUGUUGUUAAAGAAGAACAUAUCUGAGAGUAACUGUUCAGGUAUUGACGGUAUUUAACCAGAAAGCCACGGCUAACUACGUGCCAGCAGCCGCGGUAAUACGUAGGUGGCAAGCGUUGUCCGGAUUUAUUGGGCGUAAAGCGAGCGCAGGCGGUUUUUUAAGUCUGAUGUGAAAGCCUUCGGCUCAACCGAAGAAGUGCAUCGGAAACUGGGAAACUUGAGUGCAGAAGAGGACAGUGGAACUCCAUGUGUAGCGGUGAAAUGCGUAGAUAUAUGGAAGAACACCAGUGGCGAAGGCGGCUGUCUGGUCUGUAACUGACGCUGAGGCUCGAAAGUAUGGGUAGCAAACAGGAUUAGAUACCCUGGUAGUCCAUACCGUAAACGAUGAAUGCUAAGUGUUGGAGGGUUUCCGCCCUUCAGUGCUGCAGCUAACGCAUUAAGCAUUCCGCCUGGGGAGUACGGCCGCAAGGCUGAAACUCAAAGGAAUUGACGGGGGCCCGCACAAGCGGUGGAGCAUGUGGUUUAAUUCGAAGCUACGCGAAGAACCUUACCAGGUCUUGACAUACUAUGCAAAUCUAAGAGAUUAGACGUUCCCUUCGGGGACAUGGAUACAGGUGGUGCAUGGUUGUCGUCAGCUCGUGUCGUGAGAUGUUGGGUUAAGUCCCGCAACGAGCGCAACCCUUAUUAUCAGUUGCCAGCAUUAAGUUGGGCACUCUGGUGAGACUGCCGGUGACAAACCGGAAGNAAGGUGGGGAAUGACGUCCAAAUCAUCAUGGCCCCCUUUAUGACCGUGGGCUAC
rnacentral:rRNA from 1 species